AGAGGAAGUAAAAGUCGUAACAAGGUUUCCGUAGGUGAACCUGCGGAAGGAUCAUUAUCGUAUAACUGAGGCACAAGGGCUGUCGCUGACUUUUCGUCGUGCACGCCCAAAGUGCUCUCAAUCAUCCAUCUCACCCCUAUGUGCACCACCGCGUGGGUCCCCCUUUGGCUUGUCCUCAGGGGGGCUUGCGUUUUCAUACAAACUCGAUACAGUGUAGAAUGUCUUUAUUUUGCGGUAACACGCAAUCAAUACAACUUUCAACAACGGAUCUCUUGGCUCUCGCAUCGAUGAAGAACGCAGCGAAAUGCGAUACGUAAUGUGAAUUGCAGAAUUCAGUGAAUCAUCGAAUCUUUGAACGCACCUUGCGCCCCUUGGCAUUCCGAGGGGCACACCCGUUUGAGUGUCGUGAAAUUCUCAAAACCCUUUCUUUUAAGGAUUUUGGACUUGGAGGCUUUUUUGCUGGCUUCACAUUGAAGCGAGCUCCUCUUAAAUGGAUUAGUGGGGUCUGCUUUGCCGAUCCUUGACGUGAUAAGAUGCUUCUACGUCUCGGGUUUGGCAUCGUGUACCUGCUUCUAACCGUCUCAUCGACAAUGAUGGCGCUCCGGUCACCACCGUUUCAUCGGUGGGAGGCUUGACCCACAAAAAAAACCUUGACCUCAAAUCGGGUGAGACUACCCGCUGAACUUAAGCAUA
rnacentral:rRNA from 1 species